UUCUGCACCUGACAGUAAUCCGUGGUGGCGAAGCCCAUAAAUCCCGCAGGCAAUUCACAAGGAAGGUGGUGUGGGCGGGCAUGUGUGUGUGUGUGUGUGUGUGUGUGUGUGUGUGUGUCCACGUCUGCGUGCCCGCGCCUGCGCGCCCGCACCCUGGAGGGGAGCCGCAGCUUCGGACUUCAUGUAUUUAAGCCAGCAGCAGCUUUAAUUGCAAAUGCGAAUGCCUGAUUUUUGAGAGACUAAUAAAAAAAAAAAAUUCUUUCCUCAACUUGGGAAAUUCCGGAGCCUUCAGGCGUGUGAAUUUCAGCAGAUGAAAUUUAAAUUUUGUAUUUAUCCGGUUCUCCGUAAGCACCCUAGAUAAUUUUUUUUUCAUUUUUAAUUUUUGGUAUUGUAAGUGUGCCGGCCAUUUGGUACACGGUUAAAUGAAUGCAAUGUGAGAGCUAUCUGAUACCGGCUAUAGAGACGUCAAAACUCCUCUCCAAUUAAUGUGCAGGCUGGGAGUGGGAAACAAUCAGUUUACAAAGGAACCUCGUGAAACAGCUUGUCAAUAAGGUAGAUCUUGGAGAAAACAAAGGCGUUUGGCAGGAAGACAUUGUUUGAAUGUCAUUUCAAAGUUAAUUUAAUUAAGGAAGGCAUAUCUGCAGGAGUUGGUGUGGGAUUGCCCAAGGAGAGAGAUUUUAUUUAUAUUCAGCAGUAACCCUCAGGGUGAAAAUACUUUAAAAAUUCGCUGUGACAUGUAAAUCCAACCUCUCUUUCAUCAGACAGUCCUUAGACCGACCUUAUUAGUCCCUGGCAGACCUGGCAAAACCCCUGCUCUUGUUUAAGAACAUUUCUUUCCAAUUAGGUUGUUGUGUGAUCUGGGAAUUUAAAGCCCAGAGUAGGAUCCCCAGAGAGGACUAUGGCUUCUAUUCUGGUUUCGAUGCCAACCUCUGACUCACUGCCCUGUCCCAAAGUGCCUGAAUAAAACUUGCCUGAAAACCCAUUAAUGAAUUAAUCAAGGUGGCAUUGGAAAGAAAGGGUCUGUGGAUUCCUCUUUCCUGAGCAGAGAAGUUACCUUGCUCAUUACUCUCUCACUUGGAACGGAAAUGAUCUGCUUUGCAAGGACCUGUUGGUUAGGCUUCCUACAUCAGCUGAUUGGGAAGCUUCUCCUCUGGCAGUGAGAACGCUCAAAAGGACUGGAAAGCUGUCUUCAUGCUCCUCAAAGCAGAAAAGUGUGUGCCCCCUGCAUGUUCUUAGGCAACAUACACAAAUGGAAUUGAGGCAUGUCUGUCCUUCCCUGCCCACCUCUGCUCAUCAAGUCAGAACUUAAAAGCAAUGGAAUGUUCUUCAGCAUUUGGACUGAACAUCAGCAAGCAAUGUCAAAAACAUAGCCUCAAGUUUUAGACCUGACUUUGUCACAUUUACUUUCUAUGCAUAAUACUAUAGCACUUGCUAAUGAUUUAAAAUGCUAGGCUUCUAACUUUAGGGUCUCUGAAGAAAGGUUUCAAUACAUUGCUUGGUUCAUUAAUCUAUUUGAAAACUAUUCAAUCCAGGCUACGCUACCAUGUAGCUUUGUGAUCUUGGGCAAGACAAUCUCCAUGGGUCUCAGUUUCCUCAUCUGCAAAUGGAAGAGUUGGGGCAGGGCAGCUUUUAAGGUCUAGUCCAUUUCCCACCCUGUGUGAAUGCACAGGAGAGUCUCCUGUCAACCCCAAGCCCAAACCUCAGCAGCCUUCUCCUCUCCCUCCCCAGAGCCUGGCACACUAGAUGCCCAAGACCAGGAACAGUCUCUAACUCCUAUCUGGCCCUCUUUUGCUCAUGGAGAGCAAAGUUGGUAGUUUUUAUUUAGAUGUUUUUUGUCAAGUGCUAAUAUCCCAAGUAGCUUGAUAACAUUUGUUCAACAAACACAUGAAAUAAGGUGGGGGAAACAAACUUAUCCAAAAUACUGACUGUAAUUUCAAAGAGUUUAUAAUUCAGUCGGGCUACUCAGGGUGUGAAUGUCACCGUACGUUAUUGCAAGGAUCUAAUAAAUAUCAUUAGGGAAAAACAAAUAAAAUGCCAGGGGGAUUCAGAAAAGAAAGGGAUUGCACAGUGCUGCGGGAUUAGGGAAAUGGAAGGAAAAGGCCAGUGCGAAUAAAAUGAAUUUCAUCUACUUAAAUGUUAUCCUUGACUUCUCUGUUAGGUCCUUUUUUUUCUUUUUUAACUUUUAUCCCACCUCUGACAUUCAUUCUGUCCUUGUGCCUUACAUCUUUUCCUUUCAUUUGUUAACCUCUCUCUUCCCCAGUGGUUUUGCCUGCUAAAAAUAGAUGAGCGAUUGGUCUGAAGCUACAAGAGAGCCAAGAUGAUGCAAAAACUCUGUAGAAAAUCUAUGCUUUGGACAGUGAGCUGACCUUAGAUGCCAGGACAACAAAAUAUCAAAAUCACCUUUCUAAGGACCCAGCCUUGGUGAACGUAUUUGCCUAAUCAAAUGUCGAGUACACGCUCAGAAAAGAUUUUUGGACUUAUGAAAUUAUUUCUAUAAAAAUUACCAAGAGACUCCUGGUGUCCUGUAUCCUGUCUGUCACACAGUCUUCAACCUCCCUACCAACGAAAAAGGUAAUGAGAACGGUCUUCUCCUCCAGGUGACCAAAGGGCCCUUUUCAAAGCCCAUCUGGAUGCCCCUGCCUUGAACCUGAGCUAUAUCCUCUCCAGACCUGGCUUUCGUUUGGUGCAGUGGAAAAAGACACAGGCUUUGGAGCCAGACAAAUGUGGGUUUCUGUGCUAACUUGGUCAUUUAGCCACCUGGGGAACUUUGGAUGAGUUCUGACCUUUACUUUCCACAUCUUCUCAAUGGGAGCGUUACUAAAUGCUUAGGCUAAUUUGG